GACGAACGCUGGCGGCGUGCUUAACACAUGCAAGUCGAACGGUGAAGCGCCUUCCUUUUUGGUGGGUGUGGAUGAGUGGCGAACGGGUGAGUAACACGUGAGUAACCUGCCCCCUUCUUCUGGAUAACCGCAUGAAAGUGUGGCUAAUACGGGAUAUUCUGAGUCUGUCGCAUGCUUGGUCUGGGAAAGAUAUUGUUUCGGUGGGGGAUGGGCUCGCGGCCUAUCAGCUUGUUGGUGGGGGGAUGGCCUACCAAGGCGGUGACGGGUAGCCGGCCUGGGAGGGUGGCCGGUCUGGCUGGGACUGAGGCCCGGCCCAGCCUCCUGCGGGAGGCAGCAGUGGGGUAUAUUGCACGAUGGGCGCAAGCCUGAUGCAGCGCCGCCGCGUGAGGGAUGGAGUCCUGCGGGUUGUGAACCUCUUUCGCCAGUGAAGCAGGCCUGCCUCGUUUGUGGGUGGGUUGACGGUAGCUGGAUAAGAAGCGCCGGCUAACUACGUG
rnacentral:rRNA from 1 species